rnacentral:lncRNA from 1 species
AAAAAGAACAGAUUUAUUGAAUAGAUCCAUCCAAGUUUCAGAUUGGCUUCUCUCUAAAUUGAAUCCCAAAGUUACUAUUUAUUAGAUAAUUCAGCAUUUAUUGGUUGUGUUUAUACUUCUUAAACAACAAAGCAUGCACAAAUAUUAUCUGUAGCCAUUUAAAAUAGAUGAUAUGGAGGCUAAGUAGAAAUGGGGUAUUUAUAGAUAACAGAGCUAUUUGCAAAGAAUUGUAUCAGCUUCUUGAAAAUCAUCAGGGCAUUGUCUAAUAUUUAGAUAAGCAGAAAAACAAGUGAAUGCUCAAUCAAAUCUAGUUUUGUUAUGUGUCAGGCACCGGGAAUCCUUUUUAAUGAAUUAAUAAUUCUUAGAAUAUCUCCUACAUCCAUACUAAUAGGCUGCAUUUCUUCAUUUGUCCUGCUUAUCACAAGUGUGGCUAACUUCAUAUUUGUUUCAAUGAUGGAAUUCUUUCAGAGUGUUUUGGCCUUUUAGUCAAUUUGCUGCAAGUUGUAAUGGAAAGCGCACCUCUCUGGAACUCGGGAGUCUUGGAUCCUACACAUGAUUCUAUGCGUAAAUAGAAAUGAAAUUAGCUUCCUGGAUACUAAGCUAGUAUUAAUCAGGUGAUCCUAAUUAAAAUCACUCUGCUAGCUA